UGUCGGGAAUCAUGCACAAGAUCGAAGAAACCCUUCACAUGGGAGGGCACAAGAAGGAAGAAGAGAAACACAAGGGAGAAGCUCAUCACGAAGGCGGCCAUGGCCAUGGUUAUGGCGCCGCUGAGCACAAGGGAGAAGUUCAUCACGAAGGCGGCCAUGGCUAUGGUUAUGGCGCCGCUGAGCACAAGGGAGAAGUUCAUCACGAAGGCGGCCAUGGCUAUGGGGCCGCUGCGGCCGCCGGUCACGGUCACGGCGAGCAGCACAAGGAAGGGUUUAUGGAUAAGAUCAAGGACAAGAUCCACGGCGAGGGAGGUCAUGAACCUGGUCAUGAGGGCGAAAAGAAAAAGAAGAAGGAGAAGAAGAAGCAUGAAGAUGGCCAUGAAAGCAGCAGCAGCAGCGACAGUGAUUAGAUCUUCCAUCAUCGUCUUAGUAUUCCUCUCCCUUAUGGUAUCGGGUAAAUUUUUUUGGAUUUUUUUGCUAUUUUAUAUGCAGAAAUCUUGAUGGCGUUUUAAUAAUUGAAAUAAAUUUAACCUUAUAUUGUUGAUUAAGCAUGGAAUUUUCUACCAAGAAAAUGGUUAAAACAGCAACAUUUUCUAGAUCCUAGCAAAUCUAGUAACAAAGGGGAAUUAUGAAUUAAUAGUAUUUUUAAUGUGAAGUUAUUACGAAAAUUUUAAUUUCUUUUAUUUUAAUACGUUUUAAUUAUAAUAAAAAAUAUUUUAGUUAGUAGCAGGUUAAAUAGAUAUAAAGGUUUUGAUCUCAUUUUUUAAAAUAAAUGAAUAUAUUUUUUAUUGCAGGUGC
rnacentral:lncRNA from 1 species